rnacentral:lncRNA from 1 species
GCACAAGAUGACUGAGCCCCUCGCCCUCCAGCCCUGCCCAGGACGGGGCUCCUGGGGAACAGCCGCAUCACUCAGCAUCCUCACGGGAAGGAGAGGCGGCAGCGGGAGGUGUGUGUGGUUCCUCACAUCCCCGGCUGAGGCUGCCCCCAGGUAGCCUGGCCACGAGGGCUUCCCAGCCAAGCAUGGGAGGUGCCCGUGGACUCAUACUUCCCUGGGAACAACUGUGUGGGAACGCAGCCUGCUCAGCACCUUGACUCUGGAGCUGGCAGAGUGGCCCUGGGCCUUUGCUCUGCCCCCUGGAGAUUCACAGCCCACACUGAUGCUGGACAGCAGUGGCUGCUCUCCUCAGAGCUGAAUGUGGAUGCUUCCCUUGGAUUGAAGAACCCUCCCAAUGCAGAGCGUGAUGCUCUCGAAGGCUCAGGAUGUGCCACCCAUGAGAUUCUGGCCCACGGCCUUCCUGAUCCAGCCACUGCCCUGAGACAGACGAUGAUGAAAAGGAAACCACGGUUCCGCCAGUGGGAAAUGACCUGCAGAUUCCCAGGCCCUGAGCUUAGGGCGCAGAGAAGCACAGCCCUGGGCCAAAAGACCUGGGUUCCCAGGAUCAGGUCUGGACCCCUGGAUGGACUCGCUGAAGCUGACGUUAGCUGGGGUGCUCUGCUGGGCCCCACAAAGGGCCAUCAGUCCAGAUGGAGAUGCCUCGGGAGGUUUUCCCACCACACAGCUGAAGAAUUUCCAGUUUGCAGAAGGCUAAGGAAGGCACAGGAAGCUCCCUGGCUCCUCCGCCCUGGUGGUAUGAACAGUCACGCUGAUGCACCAUCAUGAACAAAUGAUUGCGCGUGCUGGCACCUGGUGCGCCGCCCACCUGUGGUGCGUGGGGCGGAGGUGCGAAGAGGGCGCGAAGGGCCGCGCUGCAGAGAAGGCCGCCAUGAUGGACGAUGGACGAUGGACGAGAAGGUGUCCAAGCGUUCGCGGAAGGAGGAGGUGAGUGGGGCCCCGGGCUGAUAGCUCCUGCCCGGCCGCCUCGGCC